GAUGAACGCUGGCGGCGUGCCUAAUACAUGCAAGUCGAGCGAACGGACGAGAAGCUUGCUUCUCUGAUGUUAGCGGCGGACGGGUGAGUAACACGUGGAUAACCUACCUAUAAGACUGGGAUAACUUCGGGAAACCGUAGCUAAUACCGGAUAAUAUUUUGAACCGCAUGGUUCAAAAGUGAAAGACGGUCUUGCUGUCACUUAUCGAUGUAUCCGCGCUGCAUUAGCUAGUUGGUAAGGUAACGGCUUACCAAGGCAACGAUGCAUAGCCGACCUGAGAGGGUGAUCGGCCACACUGGAACUGAGACACGGUCCAGACUCCUACGGGAGGCAGCAGUAGGGAAUCUUCCGCAAUGGGCGAAAGCCUGACGGAGCAACGCCGCGUGAGUGAUGAAGGUCUUCGGAUCGUAAAACUCUGUUAUUAGGGAAGAACAUAUGUGUAAGUAACUGUGCACAUCUUGACGGUACCUAAUCAGAAAGCCACGGCUAACUACGUG
rnacentral:rRNA from 1 species